UGUGCACCGGUGGGGUCCCUCGGCCUGGCCUGCACCCUCUCGAAAUCCAGGACCCCUGGGGGGAUGUCUGAUUGCCGGUUUCGGCCAGAUCCCCACAGGCCAGGCCGAGGGACCCCACCGGUGCAUG
rnacentral:pre_miRNA from 1 species